AAGAGGAAGAAGAAUCCGAAGCGGGAUAGAAGAGAAAAUGGGGAAAAAAGAAGAUAAAGACAUAAAACGCAAGAAAUCUGCUGCUACUUUGUCCCAAAAUAUUGGCGCCAUGUUCCAAAAAAGGGCCAAAAUGGAUUGGAACUGAUGAGUGUUCUGAUGCCAUAAACAACAACUGAAGUGAGCAACAGAGACAGACAACAACAGACAGACAAUGAAGGAGAGCAACAACAGACAGACAGAGGAGGGGAGUGCAACAACAGAGACAGACAAUGAAGGAGAGCAACAACAGAGACAGACAAUGAAGGAGAGCAACAACAGAGACAGACAAUGAAGGAGAGCAACAACAGACAGACAAUGAAGGAGAGCAACAACAGACAGACAAUGAAGGAGAGCAACAACAGACAGACAAUGAAGGAGAGCAACAACAGACAGACAAUGAAGGAGAGCAACAACAGACAGACAGAGGAGGGGAGAGCAACAACAGAGACAGACAAUGAAGGAGAGCAACAGAGACAGACAAUGAAGGAGAGCAACAACAGAGACAGACAAUGAAGGAGAGCAACAACAGACAGACAAUGAAGGAGAGCAACAGAGGCAAUGGAAGAGAGAAACAACAGAUAGACAAUAAAGGAGAGCAACAGAGACAGACAAUGAAGGAGAGCAGACAAUGAAGGAGAGCAACAACAGAGACAGACAAUGAAGGAGAGCAACAACAGACAAACAAUGGAGAGCAACAGAGACAGGCAAUAGAAGAGAGAAACAACAGAUAGACAAUGAAAGAGCAACAACAGACAACUGAGUAGCAUACUUUCCACCAGCACCCUGUUGACCAACAGUACUGGAGGCAGUCGUUGUUAACCCUGGCCCCGACCGAUCUGGUAUGGUAUUUCUCUUUUCAAUCCUUAUGUUAGAUUUGGCACGUUUUACGCCGGAUCCCCUUCCUGACACAACCCUCUCCAAUUUAUCCGGGACCGGCACCAAGAGUAUGCUUAUGUACCCCCAGUGGCUGGAUUUUUUUGGCUAACAAAAGGAUUUAUGAAUUUUGUCCAAAAAUUUCACGAGAAUUGUGUCACUUGCACCACACACAACAUAGGUCGGGAGCAAAAGGUAGCACAGGCUGCACACCUACAGCUAGAGACACCAUUUGAACAUUUGCAGAUGGAUUUUAUUGAAUUGACACCCACAGAAGGGAAAAAAAUAGUGUCUGGUAAUAGUAGAUAUGUUCUCUAAAUGGGUAGAGGCAUUCCCCACUUCCAAACAAGAUGCAGGAGCUGUAGUGAAAGCUCUGCUAACUGAAAUCAUUCCCAGAUGGGGCAUUCCUAGGAAGAUUAAUAGUGAUAAUGGAACUCUGUUUGUAAAUCAGGCGUUGAAACAGGUGGGAGAAACAUUGGGAAUUGACCUGAAACAACAUUGUGCAUAUCAACCAGCUCGAGGGGUGCAGUAGAGUGGGAAAAUGGUAGCACAAAAAGAAAUUGGCUAAAUGUUGCAAAUAUACGGGCCUUUAUUGGGUUAAGGUCCUGCCCAUUGUACUCUUGUAUAUGCAUACAAGAGUCAGAGCAAGAACAAACUUGAGCCAUUUGAAAUACUCUUUGGCAGACCGCCAAAUACUGGGAUAGGCCCCCAGCCAAUUCCACAGUUGACUAUGGGCCUAUGCGAAGAUGAAAUGUUGUGUUAUUGUGCAGAACUAUCUUCUGUAUUAUGUCUCACCCCUGAACAGAUGAAGGAGACACUACCAAGGACAGCUGAAACCACGCUACAUGAUUUGAAGCCUGGGGAUUAGAUAGUGGCAAAAGACUUCAGGAGAAAACGCUGGAGAGACCAAAGGUGGCUUGGACCAUAUCAGGUGUUGCUCACAACUCAGACAGCUGUGAAGGUGAAGGAAAGAGCCAUGUGGAUACACACCUGCCACUGCAAGAGAGGACAAGACAUAGGCAUGAGCAAGCCUGUGACGACAGUGGCAAGGAAAAACUCCCUCAGACGACAUGAGGAAGAAACCUCGAGAGGAACCAGACUCAAAAGGGAACCCAACCUCAUUUGGGCAACAACAGACAGCAUGACUAUAAUAUUAACAGUUUUAACAUGAAGACAGUUUCGUUGAUGUAACUCUUCAUUGAUGGAAACCUGAAUGCAAAACUGUUCAUGACAACUGCAGUCCUAAGUUAGCAAGUCAACUGUAGUCCUCAGCCAUAAAAGCAUUACUGUAAGAGUCCAGAGCGUCCUCCAGGUGUGACUUUCAACUGUCCUCAUGGGGUCAUCCUCCUCAUGGGGUCAUCCUCCACAGGAGCGACGCGACGAGACUCCUACCAGACACAGGACACCAGGAUGGAUCAAGCAGGUCCAAGGAGCAGAAGAGGUCAGCAUCUCGAUCCCAGGACCAACAUGUAACUCAGAGAAACAGAUUUGUGGGGAGGGGGAGAGAGAGAGGGAGAGAAAACACAGGUUGUUAGGUAUGCCCAAUGUCACCUGAAUAAGUAGGAACAGUAUUGUAGGUGUAAUUAAUGAUUUUGUGUAUUUAGGAUUGGAUAAGUGAUCAAUCUUUAAUAAUUACAUGAAAUCAGUCUCAUUGAAUCAUUUGAAGUGAAUCAUUCAAAUGAAUCGAAUCAGUGAAUCAUUUAGUGAAUCAGUGAAUCAUUUUGUGAAUCAUACCAUUAAUCCUGGUACUUAAUAAUAAAUUACCAAACAGCUAAAAUGGUAUCUUCCAAAUUAUUAUUGAUCACUUACCAUAUUACAUAAAUCAUCUGCACCUUUUUUUGAAUUCUUUGGGAGAUUGGGCAACUUCAAAGUAUCGUAACAGCAGAUAGACACCACACAUAAUUUCAAUAAUAAUGGAGUUUAUUAUAACAAAGAUAAUAAAAAAUUAAUAAAAAGAAAAGAAAAAAAUUGAACAAUUUAAUAGCAGCAGAAUUGAAUCUUCUGUAAACAGAGUGUGUGUGUGUGUGAGAGAGAGACUAGCUUAGGAGGCUAAUCAGACAAAGAGAUGCUAACCAGCAUGUGCUUCAAAUCUAGCAGACCAUGUGGUUAGCUUGUAGGCUAAUCAGACAAAGGAAAAGCUAGCUACAUAUACUUUCAGGCCUAGUGUGUAAAAGCUGAAGGCUUUAAUUAAAAAUAAACAU